UGCCAAAGAAAAAAGGCUUGAGGGUCCAGC
rnacentral:piRNA from 1 species